GACGAACGCUGGCGGCGCGCCUAACACAUGCAAGUCGAACGAGCGAGAGGAGGUUUACUUUCUCAAGCGAGUGGCGAACGGGUGAGUAACGCGUGAGGAACCUGCCUCAAAGAGGGGGACAACAGUUGGAAACGACUGCUAAUACCACAUAAGCCCACGACCCGGCAUCGGGUAGAGGGAAAAGGAGCAAUCCGCUUUGAGAUGGCCUCGCGUCCGAUUAGCUAGUUGGUGAGGUAAUGGCCCACCAAGGCGACGAUCGGUAGCCGGACUGAGAGGUUGAACGGCCACAUUGGGACUGAGACACGGCCCAGACUCCUACGGGAGGCAGCAGUGGGGAAUAUUGCACAAUGGGGGAAACCCUGAUGCAGCGACGCCGCGUGGAGGAAGAAGGUCUUCGGAUUGUAAACUCCUGUUGUUGAGGAAGAUAAUGACGGUACUCAACAAGGAAGAGACGGCUAACUACGUG
rnacentral:rRNA from 1 species